rnacentral:rRNA from 1 species
AAUAUUGCACAAUGGGCGCAAGCCUGAUGCAGCAACGCCGCGUGCGGGAUGACGGUCUUCGGAUUGUAAACAGCUUUUCUUGGAGAAGAAACAAAUGACGGUAUCCAAGGAAUAAGCAUCGGCUAACUACGUGCCAGCAGCCGCGGUAAUACGUAGGAUGCGAGCGUUGUCCGGAUUUACUGGGUGUAAAGGGAGCGCAGGCGGGGCUGCAAGUUGGAUGUGAAAUGUCGAGGCUUAACCUCGGAACUGCAUCCAAAACUGUAGUUCUUGAGUGGAGUAGAGGCAAGCGGAAUUCCGAGUGUAGCGGUGAAAUGCGUAGAUAUUCGGAGGAACACCAGUGGCGAAGGCGGCUUGCUGGGCUCUAACUGACGCUGAGGCUCGAAAGUGUGGGGAGCAAAC